GAGUUUGAUCGUGGCUCAGAUUGAACGCUGGCAGCAUGCCUUACACAUGCAAGUCGAACGGCAGCAUGAUCUAGCUUGCUAGAUUGAUGGCGAGUGGCGAACGGGUGAGUAAUACAUCGGAACGUGCCCUGUAGUGGGGGAUAACUAGUCGAAAGACUAGCUAAUACCGCAUACGACCUGAGGGUGAAAGUGGGGGACCGCAAGGCCUCAUGCUAUAGGAGCGGCCGAUGUCUGAUUAGCUAGUUGGUGGGGUAAAGGCCCACCAAGGCGACGAUCAGUAGCUGGUCUGAGAGGACGAUCAGCCACACUGGGACUGAGACACGGCCCAGACUCCUACGGGAGGCAGCAGUGGGGAAUUUUGGACAAUGGGCGAAAGCCUGAUCCAGCAAUGCCGCGUGUGUGAAGAAGG
rnacentral:rRNA from 1 species